rnacentral:rRNA from 1 species
GAUGAACGCUGGCGGCGUGCCUAAUACAUGCAAGUCGAGCGAACAGACGAGGAGCUUGCUCCUCUGACGUUAGCGGCAGACGGGUGAGUAACACGUGGAUAACCUACCUAUAAGACUGGGAUAACUUCGGGAAACCGGAGCUAAUACCGGAUAAUAUAUUGAACCGCAUGGUUCAAUAGUGAAAGACGGUUUUGCUGUCACUUAUAGAUGGAUCCGCGCCGCAUUAGCUAGUUGGUAAGGUAACGGCUUACCAAGGCAACGACGCGUAGCCGACCUGAGAGGGUGAUCGGCCACACUGGAACUGAGACACGGUCCAGACUCCUACGGGAGGCAGCAGUAGGGAAUCUUCCGCAAUGGGCGAAAGCCUGACGGAGCAACGCCGCGUGAGUGAUGAAGGUCUUCGGAUCGUAAAACUCUGUUAUUAGGGAAGAACAAAUGUGUAAGUAACUAUGCACGUCUUGACGGUACCUAAUCAGAAAGCCACGGCUAACUACGUG